rnacentral:rRNA from 1 species
ACGCUCGACACCUACGGGAGGUAGCAGUGGGGAAUAUUGCACAAUGGGGGAAACCCUGAUGCAGCGACGCCGCGUGGAGGAAGAAGGUCUUCGGAUUGUAAACUCCUGUUGUUGGGGAAAAAGAGGAUGGUACCCAACAAGGAAGUGACGGCUAACUACGUGCCAGCACGCCGGACGGUAAUCUGAGGCGGGCGUGGACGAAGGC